AUUGAACGCUGGCGGCAGGCCUAACACAUGCAAGUCGAACGGUAGCACAGAGAGCUUGCUCUCGGGUGACGAGUGGCGGACGGGUGAGUAAUGUCUGGGAAACUGCCCGAUGGAGGGGGAUAACUACUGGAAACGGUAGCUAAUACCGCAUAACGUCGCAAGACCAAAGUGGGGGACCUUCGGGCCUCACACCCUCGGAUGUGCCCAGAUGGGAUUAGUUAGUAGGUGGGGUAAUGGCUCACCUAGGCGACGAUCCCUAGCUGGUCUGAGAGGAUGACCAGCCACACUGGAACUGAGACACGGUCCAGACUCCUACGGGAGGCUGCAGUGGGGAAUAUUGCACAAUGGGCGCAAGCCUGAUGCGGCCAUGCCGCGUGUAUGAAGAAGGCCUUCGGGUUGUAAAGUACUUUCAGCGGGGAGGAAGGCGGUGAAGUUAAUAACUUCACCGAUUGACGUUACCCGCAGAAGAAGCACCGGCUAACUCCGUGCCAGCAGCCGCAGUAA
rnacentral:rRNA from 1 species